rnacentral:lncRNA from 1 species
GAUAAAGAAAUGGAGCCCUCGAGAAGUUAAGCAGUUUGCCCAAGAUCAUACAGCUGCAAUUUGUAUUGCAACAAAAUUUGUGACCUGCCUAAAUUUUCACCAUCAUUCAUAUUUCUGUCACACUCUGGAUCCUCCAUCUACCAAAAAUGAAUAUAGUGACAUGGCCACGCACCUGAGGAAUCCUUUUACUUCCCACAGGAGGAAGAGAAUUCCUCAAAUCCCACAAAGGCAACUCUUCUUCCUGAAGACAGCAGCUUUGCCAGUAAUGAGGGCAACAUUCCCAAUACAGGGUCUCAUUCUGUCACCCAGGCUGGAGUGCAAUGGCGAG